CCUACGGGUGGCAGCAGUGGGGAAUAUUGCACAUUGGGCGCAAGCCUGAUGCAGCCAUGCCGCGUGUGUGAAGAAGGCCUUCGGGUUGUAAAGCACUUUCAGCGGGGAGGAAGGCGGUGAGGUUAAUAACCUCAUCGAUUGACGUUACCCGCAGCAGAAGCACCGGCUAACUCCGUGCCAGCAGCCGCGGUAAUACGGAGGGUGCAAGCGUUAAUCGGAAUUACUGGGCGUAAAGCGCACGCAGGCGGUCUGUCAAGUCGGAUGUGAAAUCCCCGGGCUCAACCUGGGAACUGCAUUCGAAACUGGCAGGCUAGAGGCUUGUAGAGGGGGGUAGAAUUCCAGGUGUAGCGGUGAAAUGCGUAGAGAUCUGGAGGAAUACCGGUGGCGAAGGCGGCCCCCCGGACAAAGACUGACGCUCAGGUGCGAAAGCGUGGGGAGCAAACAGGAUUAGAUACCCUAGUAGUC
rnacentral:rRNA from 1 species